GGAAGCUACGGCUAAUGGUUUAGCAAUCGGUUUCGAAAACCGACGUAUAGUUGAUGCUAUAGGAGUUCGAUUCUUCUAGCUUCCG
rnacentral:tRNA from 1 species